AUGGGGGAGAGAAACUCCACAUCAACACUCAGGCACUGCCUUCUGCUCCUCAUCACAGGGCAAGGAAAAAUAAUCCGGAAAGAAAACUCAGCUAGCCUUAAAGAGAAUUUAAAAUCUUUCCCCUCCCGUUUCCAGAAUAAAGGCACGGGCGCUGUCCUCACCUUCUGCCACCCCCUUUGUCCGAGGGGGCUGCGACAGGCUCUGGGGACAGCUGCUGCUCUGAGCUGCCUCCUUGGGGGAUGCCACAAAGGACUGUGUCCCCAUCCCCUGCCUGAAACUCUUCCCUCGUCAGUCGGGCAGCCGCAGUGACCGGGAGGCGUGAUGGACACGUGGUCAUCCACCAAGUUUGACACUAGUGCCAAGCCUGGGUGCACUGCACCCUGUGGACCCUGGAGCAAAGCUGCAGGCUGGAAACUGGGAUGUGUCUCCUGGAAAGUUAACUCCUUCCAUGACAUUUCAAAAUAAACAGCCAGCACUCUCAAAGGCUGUCUGCCA
rnacentral:lncRNA from 1 species